AAUGAACGCUGGCGGCGCGCCUAAUACAUGCAAGUCGAGCGAGAAGACGUAGCAAUACGUUUGUAAAGCGGCGAACGGGUGAGGAAUACAUGGGUAACCUACCCUCGAGUGGGGAAUAACUAGCCGAAAGGUUAGCUAAUACCGCGUACGCUCCUUGGACUUCGGUUCAGGGAGGAAAGCGAUACCGUGGGUAUCGCGCUCUUGGUUGGGCUCAUGUCCUAUCAGCUUGUUGGUGAGGUAACGGCUCACCAAGGCUUCGACGGGUAGCUGGUCUGAGAGGACGAUCAGCCACACUGGCACUGCGACACGGGCCAGACUCCUACGGGAGGCAGCAGUAAGGAAUAUUGCGCAAUGGGGCAAAGCCUGACGCAGCGACGCCGCGGUGGGGGAUGAAGGUC
rnacentral:rRNA from 1 species